UACGUAGGGGGCAAGCGUUGUCCGGAUUUAUUGGGCGUAAAGAGCGUGUAGGCGGCCUGACAGGUCUGCUGUGAAAACUCGAGGCUCAACCUCGAGAUGUCGGCGGAAACCGUCUGGCUAGAGUCCGGAAGAGGAGAGUGGAAUUCCUGGUGUAGCGGUGAAAUGCGCAGAUAUCAGGAAGAGCACCUAUGGCGAAGGCAGCUCUCUGGGACGGUACUGGCGCUGAGACGCGAAAGCGUGGGGAGCGAACAGG
rnacentral:rRNA from 1 species